GCAUAUCAAUAAGCGGAGGAAAAGAAAAUAACAAUGAUUCCCCUAGUAACUGCGAGUGAAGAGGGACAAGCUCAAAUUUUAAAUCCGUCGGGUUACACCUGACCGAGUUGUAAUUUGAAGAGGCGUUUUCCGCGUUUUUGAUCAGUCCAAGUCCUUUGGGAUAGGGCAUCAUGGAGGGUGAGAAUCCCGUUCGGCUGAUCAGAUUCGCUUUACGAUACGUCAUCUAAGAGUCAAGUUGUCUGGGAAUGCAGCUUAAAAUGGGAGGUAAAUUUCUCCUAAGGCUAAAUAACGGCGAGAGACCGAUAGCGAACAAGUACCGUGAGGGAAAGAUGAAAAGAACUUUGAAAAGAGAGUUAAACAGUACGUGAAAUUGUUGAAAGGGAAACGAUUGAAGCCAGUCGUACCGGUGGGUAAUCAGCCUUUCGGCGUGAUUAUGUGGAGCGUGAGGAGUUAAACGCCCUCAUGGCCUGAAUAUUCGUGUUCUUUGGGUGUACUUACCCGCAUGGUAGGUUAACAUCAAUUUCGAACGUCAUAAAAUGGUUGGAGGAAUGUAGCUUCGAUCUCGUAUUGAAGUGUUAUAGACUCCGGCAGAUGUGAUGAUCGGGAUUGAGGAUUGCAACGGAUACCCUUCGGGGCUACCCGUCUGAUCUCUGAAAGUUGCUCUGGUGCCGAAAGCUCGCUUACGGUCAUCAAAGUUGACGUUCAACAGGUUAGAACGGGAUAAAUUCGUUAAGGAUGUUGACGUAAUGGCUUUAAACGAC
rnacentral:rRNA from 1 species